rnacentral:lncRNA from 1 species
AUGUCUGUCACAUUCCCCGUUCUUCCACAGAAACAGUACUCUCCAGGGAGCCUGUUUGGACCUCUCUGCAAUCCCACCACGUUACUGUCCUACCUGGAUGUGGGAGUCUUUCAAGACAAGGACUCUCUUCCUACUUCAUUCACUGUAUUUUGGCUCAGGAGCACUGCUGCCCUUUAUUGGCUAAUCAGUGGAGACUGUGGGCAAGGGACUGACUGGAUGAGAACCCCCAGCACCUCCAUCCCCACUGUUGAGAUUUCUGGGAUUCGGUUUACUUCAGGCCUGAAUAAGGAAUUAAAGAAACAAUCACACUGUGGCUUUGCAGACCUGCAUCCUUCUGCCUGGGAACCGAGAACAGUGUGUUAAGUCCUAGAAAGGAGCAGACCAGAGACUAUGAGGGUAGGGAGGCCUGCUGUAGCCCUCUGGCUGAGGCCAAGGCUUUACACAGUCUCAGGGGCCAGACAAGCCCUACCCCCUCUGCAUAAACUCAGCUGAGGCAGUUGUACUGAAAUAGUGCCUUUAUUUCCUGAAGUUCAUGGAAUAUGCUCCAAGGCAAAGAGAGUCCUUGUCUAGGAGGGCAUAGUACGGCCUUGCUUGGUGGGCAGCCCUGGGUCUUUCUCCUUGCUGACUCCUAGGAGCUUAGGAUUGGCCUGUGGGAGGUCAGAGUCUGAGGAGGGAAAUGUCCAUGUAUCCCUGUGCCCACACCCUCCCUGGGACCUGCCUCUUCCCACUCCACACUGCCAGCCCCUGCAUUUCUGUCUUCUUUGUGCCCUGUGGGAGCACCCUUCCCCAAAGACCAUCCUCUGAGGACUCUCGAUCCCCUUCUUUGCCUUCCUGCACCCAGCUCCUUGCAUGAGCUAUUUCUGCUCCCUGCCACCCAACCCAGGGCUCACAAGUUCUCCUGGGCCAGCCCCUUCAUCUUGUUUGCUUUGGGCUUGAGCAGGGAUCUGCACCCCAAGCGUUUCCAGCUCUUCCUUAAGCCUGGACAGACAGAGGCAGGGUAGGAGUGUGGGGAGGGGGAAGGGGAGGAGAAAGGACAAGAGGCUGUGAAGAGACCAGGAGACAGGCUGAAAAGGGAGCAGAGAUGCCUCAGCCACCUUCCCCUAGAGGACUGGGGGGAGGGCCUCCACACGCACCUCUGCCUCUUUUGCUGUAGCUGCUGGCACUUCUGCUGCAGCUGUUCAUGGUGCUGGGCAGCAGCCUCUAGGAGCUCCCGGGCCUUCCUGUUCUCCUCUUCAAACAUAUGUCUGAGGGGGGUGGGCAUCAGCACUGGCAUCUCCCUCCCUCCACCCCAGUCCCUGUCCCUGUCCUGCUCGUCUUACACUGCAGCUGCUGCCUCCUGGCUGCGGAGAAAGAGCCCCUCAGC